UGGAGCAUGUGGUUUAAUUCGAUGAUACGCGAGGAACCUUACUGGGCUAGAAUGUGAAGGAAUGAUAUAGAGAUGUAUCAGUCAGCAAUGACCUGAAACAAGGUGCUGCAUGGCUGUCGUCAGCUCGUGCCGUGAGGUGUUGGGUUAAGUCCCGCAACGAGCGCAACCCCCUGUUAUCAGUUGCCAUCGGGUAGAGCCGGGGACUCUGAUAAGACUGCCUGCGCAAGCAGAGAGGAAGGAGGGGACGACGUCAAGUCAUCAUGGCCCUUACGCCCAGGGCGACACACGUGCUACAAUGGCGCAUACAGCGGGUAGCUACCUGGCAACAGGAUGCCGACCUCUAAAAGUGCGUCUCAGUUCGGAUUGGGGUCUGCAACCCGACCCCAUGAAGCUGGAAUCGCUAGUAAUCGCGGAUCAGCACGCCGCGGUGAAUACGUUCCCGGGCCUU
rnacentral:rRNA from 1 species